GGGGUUGUAGCUCAGUGGUAGAGCGCUUGCCUAGCAUGUGUGAUACACUGGGUUCAAUCCUCAGCACCA
rnacentral:tRNA from 1 species